AUGCAGCUGCCAACUACUCCAGACUCUUUCCUCAGAGAUGACACCUUUACAAGGCAUUUUCAAGCUCCCUGGCAGAGGGUUGGAAAUAGCAGGAAUGUCAGACCCCAGUUGGUUCUGCCUGGUCAGACACCAGUAGAGAAGCUGAACCCCCGGGAGCAGACAAUAACAUGCAGAAAACUCCCCUUUCCACUGAACUGCAGGGUUCUGCUGAAUAUUUCACUCUUUCCCGAUGCAGAACCAACACAAACAGCUAUCCCACAUGGCAAACUGGUGCAGAAUAACCAGUAAAGAUCCCCAGCCUGAUCAGAGAAAGACAAGCAAGCUUGCUUUGUUAUUUUGAAUGUGAAGGAAAAAGAGCAUUUGAAUCACAGCUUUGGACCUUACCAACUGCUACAGACUGCUCUUGGAAAAAAUGAACUGAAUUUGACAGGGAUUCCCCUCUGAGCCCUCUGGAUUUACUUAGAUGGAAAUAAAAUCAGCCUUUUAAAGAAAUGGCA
rnacentral:lncRNA from 1 species